rnacentral:rRNA from 1 species
CCAAUAGCGUAUAUUAAAGUUGUUGCAGUUAAAAAGCUCGUAGUUGAAUUUCGGGACCAAUUUGUUGGUCGUGCCUCGGUACGUACUGGUAUUAUUGGUUUCUCCCCUCUGAAGAACCUCGAUGCCAUUAAUUUGGUGUCGUGGGGAAUCAGGACUGUUACUUUGAAAAAAUUAGAGUGUUUAAAGCAAGCAUACGCUUGACUACAUUAGCAUGGAAUAAUGAAAUAGGACGUUUGAUUCUAUUUUGUUGGUUUCUAGGAUCGACGUAAUGAUUAAUAGGGAUAGUUGGGGGCAUUAGUAUUCAAUUGUCAGAGGUGAAAUUCUUGGAUUUAUUGAAGACUAACUACUGCGAAAGCAUUUGCCAAGGAUGUUUUCAUUAAUCAAGAACGAAAGUUAGGGGAUCGAAGACGAUCAGAUACCGUCGUAGUCUUAACCAUAAACUAUGCCGACUAGGGAUCGGAUGAUGUUAAUUUUUUAAUGACUCAUUCGGCGCCUUAC